UAGUCCGGAUUGGAGUCUGCAACUCGACUCCAUGAAGUCGGAAUCGCUAGUAAUCGUGAAUCAGAAUGUCACGGUGAAUACGUUCCCGGGCCUUGUACACACCGCCCGUCACACCAUGGGAGUGGGCUGCAAAAGAAGUGGGUAGUUUAACCUUUCGGGGAGGACGCUCACCACUUUGUGGUUCAUGACUGGGGUGAAGUCGUAACAAGGUAGCCCUAGGGGAACCUGGGGCUGGAUCACCUCCUUAUACGAAGAUACC
rnacentral:rRNA from 1 species